rnacentral:rRNA from 1 species
UAAGACGAACCGUGCAAACGUUAUUCGGAAUCAUUGGGCUUAAAGAGCGCGUAGGCGGCGUUGUAAGUUGGAGGUGAAAUCCCAUCGGCUCAACCGUGGAACUGCCCCCAAUACUGCAACGCUUGAGGGAGGUAGGGGCACGCGGAACUUCCAGUGGAGCGGUGAAAUGUGUUGAGAUUGGAAGGAACGCCAGUGGCGAAAGCGGCGUGCUGGAUCUCUUCUGACGCUGAGGCGCGAAAGCUAGGGUAGCGAACGGG